UGAUGUGAGGGCAAUCUGGCUGUGGCAUCUUUCACCCCAUUGAUCACCAAGGUGGAUUCGGCUUACCUGACUGGCUAGAUGGGUGUCCCCUUCCUCCCUCACCAUUCCAUGUGCGUCCUUCCCGAAGCUGCAUGCUCAGUCGAAGGGGAUGACCAUCCCCGACAGAGGAGGACCGGUCUUCAGUCAAGGGCAUACGAGUAGCUGCACUCCCCUGCUCGAACCUCCAAAUAAGCUAUCUAUCUAUCUAUCUAUCUAUCUAUCUAUCUAUCUAUCUAUCUAUCUAU
rnacentral:sRNA from 1 species